rnacentral:antisense_RNA from 1 species
AUCGUUACCCGGGCCCAACGCCGGGCCAAAGUCCUAUCUCAGGGUUUCCCACGUCGCUCGCUCCUUGACGGCUGAGCGACACUGGGUCUGAGGUGUAAGCGCUUUCCAGGCCCUUCCCUGGGGCUUGGAGGGGAAUGGCGCAAAGGACUUUUCUGACAAGCAGAGGGGUUGGACUCCUGAAAACCUGGACAGUGUCAUCAUCUUCACCUGAAGAGUGGAAAAAUUCAAGCAAAGAAUUUCUCAGGAAAUGACCAAGUAAAACAUCUGGAGUAAGUCAGCAGGAUUCAAAGUGACUCCCCCGAACCACCUGGUGGUGUUUCUCUCUGAAAGCAGCACUUGGUACCAGUGUGAACUCUCCUCCUUCAGAAGUCCCAUCAGGUGGACGUAAUAUGAGGGUCUGGUCCCCCAUACCUUGAGGACUCUGCUGCCAUCUGACAAUUAGAGACAAUCCAAUUGUCCUCAUCCUUGAGGACUCUGCUGCCAUCUGACAAUUAGAGACAGUCCAAAACAUGCCACACUUUGAUCCUAAACACAUUCCUGGCUUUGGUCACUUUUGAAAAG